AAAUUGUCACCUGGUUAGAUUCCUUUUAAUCAUCAUAAAAAAGGACAUCAAAUGGUUAUGCAUGGGAUCAAGAUCCAUUUGACUCAAUUUAGAGCAUAAAAUCCUGGGGUCCUCAGCUUUUUUGUAAGCUUUAUUUACUAGUAGUAGUUUGUGGUCUACAUUUGCUAUUAUAUAUACCUUUUCUGAUACAGUUGAGGUUAACUAUUGACCUGUAAACAAGGCAGACAGAUGGAUGACCAAAACUUUUGACCAGGCAGACAAGCUUUAUUCACAAUCACUUAGAAUACGGUAUGCUAUCCCCUUAGGCAGUUCAAAUUCUGCAGCAGUUGGAUAUAUAUGUAUAUAUGAACCAGAAAAGAAUAGAGAUUUUCCAACUGUAGGAUUAAGAGGUUUAAGAAUGCAGCAGCUCUGUAAACUAAGUGGUUAAGAAAUCAAUCAAAAUCUUGGCGGAUGCACUCUAUGGAUCAUUUCAGCGACAACAACUGCAUUAUUGGUGUAAUCACUUUAUGGUUGCCUUUCUUUCUUCUUGUAUCAUGACUGGUGUUAGCACUGCAGCAACUUUGUUUGAUUUUCUGGGAUGCAACGACAUAAUGAUUAAUUAACAACUUUGAACUAUUGAGUAUAUAGUCUAAGAAAUUUUGCUAGUACUCCACUAUAAUUUAAACACACUCCAUGUUCAUGAAGCUCUAACCAUUUGCUAAUGCUUGUAGGUUCGAUUCAAUAUGUGUUUGUAUUAAAAAAACACAUUCUACUCCGGCGUUUGCCCAUUUUCGGGUUGCCAACAGUUCUACUUUCUAAUUUUAUGGAUGAGUAGGCUUCGCUCCACUUUUCUAGCUUCAGCUUUUUCAAAAUCAGCUUCGCUUAUUGUCUUGGAUUUG
rnacentral:lncRNA from 1 species